CCUGGCGGCCAUGGCGCCGUGGAACCACCUGAUCCCAUGCCGAACUCAGAAGUGAAACGCGGUAGCGCCGAUGGUAGUGUGGCAUUCGCCAUGCGAGAGUAGGACACUGCCAGGC
rnacentral:rRNA from 1 species